CGGGACGGGUGAGUAAUGUCUGGGAAACUGCCUGAUGGAGGGGGGUAACUACUGGAAACGGUAGCUAAUACCGCAUAACGUCGCAAGACCAAAGAGGGGGGACCUUAGGGCCUCUUGCCAUCGGAUGUGCCCAGAUGGGAUUAGCUAGUAGGUGGGGUAACGGCUCACCUAGGCGACGAUCCCUAGCUGGUCUGAGAGGAUGACCAGCCACACUGGAACUGAGACACGGUCCAG
rnacentral:rRNA from 1 species